rnacentral:rRNA from 1 species
UACGUAGGGCGCAAGCGUUGUCCGGAAUUAUUGGGCGUAAAGAGCUCGUAGGCGGUUUGUCGCGUCUGCUGUGAAAACCUAAGGCUCAACCUUGGGCUUGCAGUGGGUACGGGCAGACUAGAGUGCGGUAGGGGUGACUGGAAUUCCUGGUGUAGCGGUGGAAUGCGCAGAUAUCAGGAGGAACACCGAUGGCGAAGGCAGGUCACUGGGCCGCAACUGACGCUGAGGAGCGAAAGCAUGGGGAGCGAGCAGG